AGGUUAGUGCAAUGGCAUAAGCCAGCUUGACUGCGAGCGUGACGGCGCGAGCAGGUGCGAAAGCAGGUCAUAGUGAUCCGGUGGUUCUGAAUGGAAGGGCCAUCGCUCAACGGAUAAAAGGUACUCCGGGGAUAACAGGCUGAUACCGCCCAAGAGUUCAUAUCGACGGCGGUGUUUGGCACCUCGAUGUCGGCUCAUCACAUCCUGGGGCUGAAGUAGGUCCCAAGGGUAUGGCUGUUCGCCAUUUAAAGUGGUACGCGAGCUGGGUUUAGAACGUCGUGAGACAGUUCGGUCCCUAUCUGCCGUGGGCGCUGGAGAACUGAGGGGGGCUGCUCCUAGUACGAGAGGACCGGAGUGGACGCAUCACUGGUGUUCGGGUUGUCAUGCCAAUGGCACUGCCCGGUAGCUAAAUGCGGAAGAGAUAAGUGCUGAAAGCAUCUAAGCACGAAACUUGCCCCGAGAUGAGUUCUCCCUGACUCCUUGAGAGUCCUGAAGGAACGUUGAAGACGACGACGUUGAUAGGCCGGGUGUGUAAGCGCAGCGAUGCGUUGAGCUAACCGGUACUAAUGAACCGUGAGG
rnacentral:rRNA from 1 species